rnacentral:rRNA from 1 species
UACGUAGGGUGCGAGCGUUGUCCGGAAUCAUUGGGCGUAAAGAGCUCGUAGGCGGUUCGGCAAGUCACGUGUGAAAUCUCCACGCUUAACGUGGAGGCGCCACGUGAAACUGCCGUGACUCGAGUCCGGUAGGGGAGUGUGGAAUUCCCGGUGUAGCGGUGAAAUGCGCAGAUAUCGGGAGGAACACCAGUAGCGAAGGCGGCACUCUGGGCCGGUACUGACGCUGAGGAGCGAAAGCGUGGGGAGCGAACAGG